UACGGAGGGGGGCUAGCGUUGUUCGGAAUUACUGGGCGUAAAGCGCACGUAGGCGGCUUCUUAAGUCGGUGGUGAAAUCCUGGAGCUCAACUCCAGAACUGCCUUCGAUACUGAGAAGCUCGAGUCCGGGAGAGGUGAGUGGAACUGCGAGUGUAGAGGUGAAAUUCGUAGAUAUUCGCAAGAACACCAGUGGCGAAGGCGGCUCACUGGCCCGGUACUGACGCUGAGGUGCGAAAAGCGUGGGGGAGCAAACAGG
rnacentral:rRNA from 1 species